rnacentral:rRNA from 1 species
AGUGAACGCUGGCGGUAGGCCUAACACAUGCAAGUCGAACGGCAGCACAGUAAGAGCUUGCUCUUACGGGUGGCGAGUGGCGGACGGGUGAGGCAUACAUCGGAAUCUACUUUUUCGUGGGGGAUAACGUAGGGAAACUUACGCUAAUACCGCAUACGACCUACGGGUGAAAGCAGGAGAUCUUCGGACCUUGCGCGUUUGAAUGAGCCGGUGUCGGAUUAGCUAGUUGGCGGGGUAAAGGCCCACCAAGGCGACGAUCCGUAGCUGGUCUGAGAGGAUGAUCAGCCACACUGGAACUGAGACACGGUCCAGACUCCUACGGGAGGCAGCAGUGGGGAAUAUUGGACAAUGGGCGCAAGCCUGAUCCAGCCAUACCGCGUGGGUGAAGAAGGCCUUCGGGUUGUAAAGCCCUUUUGUUGGGAAAGAAAAGCAGCAGGUUAAUACCCCGCUGUUCUGACGGUACCCAAAGAAUAAGCACCGGCUAACUUCGUG